UUUUUUUUUUUUUUUGCAACUUCCCGGCAGGCACUGCAGAGUGGAGCGCGGCCUGGCAGCGGUGUGAGUUGCAGUUCGUUUUCUCCAGCGGCCGGUUGUGAAUCUAUUCCCAUCAGCGCCACGGAUAAGAUCGGAAAGGCGAUACGAUGAACAAGUGGAAGGCUGGAUCGCGUGUCACUGUCGUGCAAGGAAGCCGCGUUGGGGAACUUCAGCGCCGGACACAAGCAAUUUUUCAUGCAAGGGGAUCGUGCGUGUUCGACUCCUGCGGGUGAAGCGGUGAUCAUGGCUGAGCGCGAUCGUUAGCAGGAGAAGGCGUUUUUCUGGCAGCCGCAUUUUCCGCAGUUGGGAUCCGGAAGGUGGGACACAACCAUUUACCUUUUGACUUUCCCUGUUGAAGUACCUCGAGGUAUCAUCUUUGUUCCUUUGAGAUGUGGCCUCCAAUAUUGGAUCCAAAAAUACCUGAAUUUCUUCAGCCUAAGAAAGUGGUGUGUUCUAUAAAGGUGUUGAGAUUUUGAAGUUCAAGAGGACUCUGGAUCUGAGAACAGCCAUCCAAAUGUUCCAUCAUCGUAGCAAACGUUCAGGCGCAAUGCACAGUUAGCAAACGUGGAGGCAGAAAUGGCAUGGAGGGAUCAAACAGCUCUGCAGAAGCUGGUACGAGCACAGCAAAGAACUGGCAUGAUGUGGUUCAAGAUGAACAGAAAUAAUCUCAACGAAGUGUUCCAAGAAGAGUCAGUCCCUGAGAUGGGGCAGAUUCCAUCCAUGUCUGUUUUUAAAAAAAUAAUAAAUAAUAGACAACCAGUCUCCUUCCACUCAUGUACUUUCACAUCCACAUGUCUUGCUUGCCUACAUAGCAUCUGUAUUCAAGUGCUUAUCUUCGGUUACAAUUUAAGAGUUUCUUUUCUGUUCAGAGAUGUGUGGGGUUUUUUGUAAGUACGCACAUAUACUCUGUGUAUUUUUGUUUUAUCCUUUGCCAUUGGACUAUUGAAUUUGUUUACUUAUGGUGUGUUGGUCUGUGAGCACUAAAUAUAGAAUAAAGGAAAUUAACUAUG